rnacentral:rRNA from 1 species
UACGUAGGGGGCAAGCGUUGUCCGGAAUCAUUGGGCGUAAAGAGCGUGUAGGCGGCCCGGUAAGUCAGCUGUGAAAGUCCAGGGCUCAACCCUGGGAUGCCGGUGGAUACUGGCGGGCUCGAGUCCGGAAGAGGAGUGUGGAAUUCCUGGUGUAGCGGUGAAAUGCGCAGAUAUCAGGAGGAACACCAAUGGCGAAGGCAGCACUCUGGGACGUGACUGACGCUGAGACGCGAAAGCGUGGGGAGCAAACAGG